AGCCCUCGCCAGGCACCUCCAAGGACUCUCCACCUCCCCGGCGCGUCCUACACCUGACGGCCGAGUUCUAAACCUGGCGGAAAGGGCUGCAUUCCCCGUGGUAUCCAAUUCAGCCUCUCCUGCUUCCUGAGUUCUCUCCAGUGAUGCAAAAUCAGAUAAGGAAACACACCUCGUCUAGGAAGCAAGGGGAAAUAUGACAAAGCACACAGAAACUAGAAAUAAAAGUCAAAAAUCUACACCAUCGAACCCAAAUAAUCUUCUUCAGUUUUAAUGAUGGACCCAAACCAAAACAGUUCUCACGUUCACAUGUUAGAAACUAACUCCAUCUGCAUCACUUACGAUAGGCUGUAGUAAACUGAACCAAAUAAGAAAAAUCCCAGCAGCAAACUUGCUGACAAAACUUUAGCCGAUUGCCAGGGUAGUCCGGUACAGGAACGUCAAAUGAAACCAAUGUGCUGUAAAUAAACCUUUAUUGUAUUUUGUGAUACGGUUUGAAUUUAAAUCCCUAGGUAGCGCCACGAAACAAAAGACAUAUUGAUGCUACUGCCAUGGAGCAGCACAGUUUGUCUAGAAAAUAAACGAGACGAAACAGCAGUCUAGAAGUAGGCACCAAAUCCAAGUUUUCAUGUGCGAUCCAGGUAUUAGGGUCCAUCCAGGAACAGCCUGCUGGAAUUGCUAGCCUGGCAUUCACAGAAGAUUGUGCCACCCACGAGGAAUGUGUUUUCAGCCCUGAAAUUCCUGGGAGUGAGAGGUGAAGCCAGCUGGAUUUCUGGGUUGGGUGGGGACUUGGAGAACUUUUCUUACAAGAGGAUUGUAAAAUGCACCAAUCAGCACUCUGUAGCUAGCUAGAGUUUUGUAAAAUGCACCAAUCAGUGCUCUGUAAAAACGCACCUAUCAGCACUCUGUAGGUAGCUAGAGGUUUGUAAAAUGGACCAAUCAGCACUCUGUAAAAUGGACCAAUCAGCAGGGCAUGGGCAGGGACAAAUAAGCCAAUAAAAACUGGCCACCCCAGCCUGCAGGGGCAGCCUGCUUGGGUCCUUUUCCACAUUGUGGAAGCUUUGUUCUUUUGCUCUUCACAAUAAAUCUUGCUGCUGCUCAGUC
rnacentral:lncRNA from 1 species